AGAGCUAAUACAUGCAUUAAAGCUCUGACCUCACGGGAAGAGUGCAUUUAUUAGAACAAAACCAAGCGGCUUCGGCUGUUUCCGGUUGACUCAUAGUAACUGAGCUGAUCGCAUGGUCUUGCACCGGCGACGUGUCUUUCAAGUAUCUGCCGUAUCAACUUUCGAUGGUAGUGUAUCUGACUACCAUGGUGAUCACGCGUAACGGAGAAUAAGGGUUCGGCUCCGGAGAGUUCGCCUGAGAAAUCGCGAACACAUCUAAGGAAGGCAGCAGGCGCGAAAAUUACCCACUCUCAGCACGAGGAGGUAGUGACGAAAAAUAACGAGACCGUUCUCUUAUGAGGCCGGUCAUCGGAAUGGGUACAAUUUAAACCCUUUAACGAGUAUCUAUGAGAGGGCAAGUCUGGUGCCAGCAGCCGCGGUAAUUCCAGCU
rnacentral:rRNA from 1 species